AACGCACGAGACCUGCGGACCUGCGGAGGGAUCAUUACCGAAGUCCCGAGCGGGCCUGUGCCGUACGUGAAAAGUGUGCACGGCCCGUCUCACACACACACCCGUGCACGGAAGGGGAAGAGGGGGGGGGUGUUUCACUUCCCUCCUCCCCCCCACAAAAAACGCCUUUUUGAAACUGGGAAGCCACAACGUGUGCAACCUUUGACAACUUUUAACAAUGGAUCUCUAGAUCGGAAGAGC
rnacentral:misc_RNA from 1 species